rnacentral:rRNA from 1 species
AUGUGGUCCUAUCUUUGUCAGCGCUAUCAGCCCUCUAGCGAUGCUCUCUACCUCUCUGUGGUGCGUCAGGAGCAUGCUCUUCAGCAGGGUGACUCGUCUGUUGAUGAAUUCUAUUCACAGUGCUCUGCCAUCUGGCGUCAGCUUGACUCACUGAGGAUAGUUGUUUGUGGAACUUGUCGUUGCUGUCAGACUACGCGGUCUGACUUGGAGUUUCAGAGGGUUCAUGAGUUCUUAUCUCGCCUCCGCUCUGAGUUUGAGCCCAGAUGUGCUCACUUGCUUGCUCGUGGUCGUGUUCCCAUCUCGGAGGUGCUUGCCGAGCUUCGUGCCGAGGAGACUCGCCUUCGCUCUGUUGGUUUGCUGGUGGUCCCGUCUGUGCUGGCUGCUCGGGCUCCUGUGUCGUCUGCUUGCCUCACUACUCCGCCGCUCCUGCCUACUCCUCCAGGGGGUCCUUAUGCUGAGAAGGGCACGUCGCACCAUGACACCUUCUGUGGUUACUGCUCCGGGCCAGGUCACCCAGAGUCUGAUUGUCGCCAGAAGAAGCGAGACCAGAGGUGCUCCUCCUCCAGCGGGCCUCCUGUGUCU